AUUGGGUAGGGGAGCGUUCUGUAAGCGGUUGAAGGUGUGUGGUAACGCAUGCUGGACGUAUCAGAAGUGCGAAUGCUGACAUGAGUAACGAUAAAGGGGGUGAAAAACCUCCUCGCCGGAAGACCAAGGGUUCCUGUCCAACGUUAAUCGGGGCAGGGUAAGUCGACCCCUAAGGCGAGGCCGAAAGGCGUAGUCGAUGGGAAACGGGUUAAUAUUCCCGUACUUCUUACAAUUGCGAUGGGGGGACGGAGAAGGCUAGGUGGGCCUGGCGACGGUUGUCCAGGUUCAAGUGCGUAGGCUUAAGAGUUAGGUAAAUCCGGCUCUUUUUAAGGCUGAGACACGACGUCGAGCACCUACGGGUGUGAAGUCAUUGAUGCCAUGCUUCCAGGAAAAGCCUCUAAGCUUCAGAUUGUAAGGAAUCGUACCCCAAACCGACACAGGUGGUCGGGUAGAGAAUACCAAGGCGCUUGAGAGAACUCGGGUGAAGGAACUAGGCAAAAUGGUACCGUAACUUCGGGAGAAGGUACGCUCU
rnacentral:rRNA from 1 species